rnacentral:rRNA from 1 species
CCUACGGGGGGCUGCAGUGGGGAAUAUUGGACAAUGGGCGAAAGCCUGAUCCAGCCAUGCCGCGUGUUUGAAGAAGGCCUUCGGGUUGUAAAGCACUUUCAGUGGGGAAGAAAGCCUUGGGGCUAAUACCCUCGAGGAAGGACAUCACCCACAGAAGAAGCACCGGCUAACUCCGUGCCAGCAGCCGCGGUAAUACGGAGGGUGCGAGCGUUAAUCGGAAUUACUGGGCGUAAAGCGCGCGUAGGCGGUCUGAUAAGCCGGUUGUGAAAGCCCCGGGCUCAACCUGGGAACGGCAUCCGGAACUGUCAGGCUAGAGUGCAGGAGAGGAAGGUAGAAUUCCCGGUGUAGCGGUGAAAUGCGUAGAGAUCGGGAGGAAUACCAGUGGCGAAGGCGGCCUUCUGGACUGACACUGACGCUGAGGUGCGAAAGCGUGGGUAGCAAACAGGAUUAGAUACCCCAGUAGUC